rnacentral:rRNA from 1 species
UACGUAGGGUGCGAGCGUUGUCCGGAAUUAUUGGGCGUAAAGAGCUCGUAGGCGGCUUGUCACGUCGGAUGUGAAAGCCCGGGGCUUAACUCCGGGUCUGCAUUCGAUACGGGCUGGCUAGAGUGUGGUAGGGGAGAUCGGAAUUCCUGGUGUAGCGGUGAAAUGCGCAGAUAUCAGGAGGAACACCCGUGGCUAAGGCGGCUCUCUAGUACGGUACUGACGCUGAGACGCGAAAGCGUGGGGAGCGAACAGG